rnacentral:rRNA from 1 species
UACGUAGGGGGCAAGCGUUGUCCGGAUUUAUUGGGUGUAAAGAGCGUGUAGGCGGCCAGACAGGUCCGCUGUGAAAACUCGAGGCUCAACCUCGAGAUGUCGGUGGAAACCGUCUGGCUAGAGUCCGGAAGAGGAGAGUGGAAUUCCCGGUGUAGCGGUGAAAUGCGCAGAUAUCGGGAAGAACACCCGUGGCGAAGGCGGCUCUCUGGGACGGUACUGACGCUGAGACGCGAAAGCGUGGGGAGCGAACAGG